rnacentral:rRNA from 1 species
AUUGAACGCUGGCGGCAGGCCUAACACAUGCAAGUCGAACGAGUGGCGGACGGGCGCGUAAUUUCUGGGAAACUGCCUGAUGGAGGGGGAUAACUACUGGAAACGGUGGCUAAUACUGCAUACCACCGGAUGAGCCUAGAUGGGAUUAGCUAGUAGGGGGGGCAAAGGCUCACCAAGGCGACGAUCCCGAGCUGGUCUGAGAUGAUGCCCAGGAACACGGGAACUGAGACACGGUCAAGACUCCUAGGGGAGGCAGCAGUGAGGAAUGUUGCACGAGGGGCGAAAGCCUGAUGCAGCAAGGCCACGUGUGUGAAGAAGGUCUUCGGGUUGUAAAGUACUUUAAGCAGGGAGGCGUUACGCGCAGAAGAAGCACCGCCUAACUCCGUGCCAGCCGCCGCGGGAAUUC